UACGGGGGGAGCAAGCGUUGUUCGGAUUUACUGGGCGUAAAGGGCGCGUAGGCGGUCAGCACAAGUCAGUUGUGAAAUCUCCGGGCUUAACUCGGAAAGGUCAACUGAUACUGUGCGACUAGAGUGCAGAAGGGGCAACUGGAAUUCUCGGUGUAGCGGUGAAAUGCGUAGAUAUCGAGAGGAACACCUGCGGCGAAGGCGGGUUGCGUGGGCUGACACUGACGCUGAUGCGCGAAAGCCAGGGGAGCGAACGGG
rnacentral:rRNA from 1 species